GUGAAUCAUCAAAUUUUUGAACGCAAAUUGCACUCUCCUCGGAGAGUAUGCCUGUUUGAGGGUCGUUAGAACAAAAAUCGAAGCGUCGCUCUUUUUUUUUAAGGGUGAUCGCGUCGGAAUUGAGCCGUCUUUCAAAUGUUAAUUCAUGUCGAAGUGGCUUGAAAUUCAUCCGGAACGCAUGAAGCAUAUUUAAGUAAGACUUUGAUUAA
rnacentral:misc_RNA from 1 species